rnacentral:rRNA from 1 species
UACGUAGGGGGCAAGCGUUGUCCGGAUUUAUUGGGCGUAAAGAGCGUGUAGGCGGCUAGGUAGGUCCGUUGUGAAAACUCGAGGCUCAACCUCGAGACGUCGAUGGAAACCAUCUAGCUAGAGUCCGGAAGAGGAGAGUGGAAUUCCUGGUGUAGCGGUGAAAUGCGCAGAUAUCAGGAAGAACACCCGUGGCGAAGGCGGCUCUCUGGUACGUGACUGACGCUGAGACGCGAAAGCGUGGGGAGCGAACAGG